rnacentral:rRNA from 1 species
UACAGAGGGGGCAAGCGUUGUUCGGAAUUACUGGGCGUAAAGGGCGCGUAGGCGGCCUGUUAAGUCGGGGGUGAAAUCCUGGGGCUCAACCUCAGAAUUGCCUCCGAUACUGGCAGUCUCGAGUGCGGGAGAGGUGAGUGGAAUUCCCAGUGUAGAGGUGAAAUUCGUAGAUAUUAGGAAGAACACCAGUGGCGAAGGCGGCUCACUGGUCCGGUACUGACGCUGAGGUGGCGAAAAGCGUGGGGAGCAAACAGGG